UCGAGGUCAAGGCGUAAAGAUAGCUUCGGCCUUCGCAUCGGGACGGGCCCGCGGCCCAUUAGCUUGUUGGUGGGGUAAAGGCCUACCAAGGCGACGAUGGGUAGCUGGUCUGAGAGGACGAUCAGCCACACUGGACUGAGACACGGCCCAGACUCCUACGGGAGGCAGCAGUGGGGAAUCUUGCGCAAUGCGCGAAAGCGUGACGCAGCAACGCCGCGUGGGGGAAGAAGGCCUUCGGGUUGUAAACCCCUUUCAGUUGGGACGAAGCUUCGUCGGUGAAUAGCCGGCUGGAGUGACGGUACCUUCACAAGAAGCCCCGGCUAACUACGUGCCAGCAGCCGCGGUAAUACGUAGGGGGCUAGCGUUGUCCGGAAUCAUUGGGCGUAAAGUGCGUGUAGGCGGUCCGGUAAGUCCGCUGUGAAAGUCGAGGGCUCAACCCUCGAAUGCCGGUGGAUACUGUCGGGCUAGAGUACGGAAGAGGCGAGUGGAAUUCCUGGUGUAGCGGUGAAAUGCGCAGAUAUCAGGAGGAACACCAAUUGCGAAGGCAGCUCGCUGGGACGUUACUGACGCUGAGACGCGAAAGCGUGGGGAGCAAACAGGAUUAGAUACCCUGGUAGUCCACGCCGUAAACGAUGGGCACUAGGUGUGGGGGAUGUCGACUCCCUCCGUGCCGAAGCUAACGCAUUAAGUGCCCCGCCUGGGGAGUACGGCCGCAAGGCUAAAACUCAAAGGAAUUGACGGGGGCCCGCCCAAGCAGCGGAGCAUGUGGUUUAAUUCGACGCAACGCGAAGAACCUUACCUGGGCUUGACAUGUAGGUGACCGGCCUGGAAACAGGCCUCCCUUCGGGGCACCCUCACAGGUGGUGCAUGGCUGUCGUCAGCUCGUGUCGUGAGAUGUUGGGUUAAGUCCCGCAACGAGCGCAACCCCCGUCGCAUGUUGCCAGCAUUUAGUUGGGGACUCAUGCGAGACUGCCGGUGACAAACCGGAGGAAGGUGGGGAUGACGUCAAGUCAUCAUGCCCCUUAUGUUCAGGGCCACACACGUGCUACAUUGGCGCGUACAGAGGGCAGCGAUACCGCGAGGUGGAGCGAAUCCCUUAAAGCGCGUCUCGGUUCGGAUUGGAGGCUGAAACUCGCCUCCAUGAAGGCGGAGUUGCUAGUAAUCGCGGAUCAGCAUUGCCGCGGUGAAUACGUUCCCGGGCCUUGUACACACCGCCCGUCACACCACGGAAGCAAGCAACACCCGAAGCCGGUGGCCUAACCCUUCG
rnacentral:rRNA from 1 species